UAUAACUUACUUUGGUGAGACAGCGGACA
rnacentral:piRNA from 1 species